CCUACGGGAGGCAGCAGUGAGGAAUAUUGGUCAAUGGCCGGAAGGCUGAACCAGCCAUGCCGCGUGAAGGUCAGUGCCCUAUGGGCGUUAAACUUCUUUUGUGUGGGAGCAAUAAUGGUCACGUGUGGCCAGACGAGAGUACCGUACGAAUAAGCAUCGGCUAACUCCGUGCCAGCAGCCGCGGUAAUACGGGGGAUGCAAGCGUUAUCCGGAUUUAUUGGGUUUAAAGGGUGCGUAGGCUGUGAGGUAAGUCAGCGGUGAAAUGCCCCCGCUCAACGGGGUGAAGUGCCAUUGAUACUGCCUGGCUGGAAUGCGGAUGCCGUGGGAGGAAUGUGUGGUGUAGCGGUGAAAUGCAUAGAUAUCACACAGAACACCGAUUGCGAAGGCAUCUCACGAAUCCGCGAUUGACGCUGAUGCACGAAAGCGUGGGUAUCAAACAGGAUUAGAUACCCUUGUAGUC
rnacentral:rRNA from 1 species